rnacentral:rRNA from 1 species
UUAAGCGACUAAGCGUACACGGUGGAUGCCCAGGCAGUCAGAGGCGAUGAAGGACGUGCUAAUCUGCGAUAAGCGUCGGUAAGGUGAUAUGAACCGUUAUAACCGGCGAUUUCCGAAUGGGGAAACCCAGUGUGUUUCGACACACUAUCAUUAACUGAAUCCAUAGGUUAAUGAGGCGAACCGGGGGAACUGAAACAUCUAAGUACCCCGAGGAAAAGAAAUCAACCGAGAUUCCCCCAGUAGCGGCGAGCGAACGGGGAGCAGCCCAGAGCCUGAAUCAGUGUGUGUGUUAGUGGAAGCGUCUGGAAAGGCGCGCGAUACAGGGUGACAGCCCCGUACACAAAAAUGCACAUGCUGUGAGCUCGAUGAGUAGGGCGGGACACGUGGUAUCCUGUCUGAAUAUGGGGGGACCAUCCUCCAAGGCUAAAUACUCCUGACUGACCGAUAGUGAACCAGUACCGUGAGGGAAAGGCGAAAAGAACCCCGGCGAGGGGAGUGAAAAAGAACCUGAAACCGUGUACGUACAAGCAGUGGGAGCACGCUUAGGCGUGUGACUGCGUACCUUUUGUAUAAUGGGUCAGCGACUUAUAUUCUGUAGCAAGGUUAACCGAAUAGGGGAGCCGAAGGGAAACCGAGUCUUAACUGGGCGUUAAGUUGCAGGGUAUAGACCCGAAACCCGGUGAUCUAGCCAUGGGCAGGUUGAAGGUUGGGUAACACUAACUGGAGGACCGAACCGACUAAUGUUGAAAAAUUAGCGGAUGACUUGUGGCUGGGGGUGAAAGGCCAAUCAAACCGGGAGAUAGCUGGUUCUCCCCGAAAGCUAUUUAGGUAGCGCCUCGUGAAUUCAUCUCCGGGGGUAGAGCACUGUUUCGGCAAGGGGGUCAUCCCGACUUACCAACCCGAUGCAAACUGCGAAUACCGGAGAAUGUUAUCACGGGAGACACACGGCGGGUGCUAACGUCCGUCGUGAAGAGGGAAACAACCCAGACCGCCAGCUAAGGUCCCAAAGUCAUGGUUAAGUGGGAAACGAUGUGGGAAGGCCCAGACAGCCAGGAUGUUGGCUUAGAAGCAGCCAUCAUUUAAAGAAAGCGUAAUAGCUCACUGGUCGAGUCGGCCUGCGCGGAAGAUGUAACGGGGCUAAACCAUGCACCGAAGCUGCGGCAGCGACGCUUAUGCGUUGUUGGGUAGGGGAGCGUUCUGUAAGCCUGUGAAGGUGUGCUGUGAGGCAUGCUGGAGGUAUCAGAAGUGCGAAUGCUGACAUAAGUAACGAUAAAGCGGGUGAAAAGCCCGCUCGCCGGAAGACCAAGGGUUCCUGUCCAACGUUAAUCGGGGCAGGGUGAGUCGACCCCUAAGGCGAGGCCGAAAGGCGUAGUCGAUGGGAAACAGGUUAAUAUUCCUGUACUUGGUGUUACUGCGAAGGGGGGACGGAGAAGGCUAUGUUGGCCGGGCGACGGUUGUCCCGGUUUAAGCGUGUAGGCUGGUUUUCCAGGCAAAUCCGGAAAAUCAAGGCUGAGGCGUGAUGACGAGGCACUACGGUGCUGAAGCAACAAAUGCCCUGCUUCCAGGAAAAGCCUCUAAGCAUCAGGUAACAUCAAAUCGUACCCCAAACCGACACAGGUGGUCAGGUAGAGAAUACCAAGGCGCUUGAGAGAACUCGGGUGAAGGAACUAGGCAAAAUGGUGCCGUAACUUCGGGAGAAGGCACGCUGAUAUGUAGGUGAAGUCCCUCGCGGAUGGAGCUGAAAUCAGUCGAAGAUACCAGCUGGCUGCAACUGUUUAUUAAAAACACAGCACUGUGCAAACACGAAAGUGGACGUAUACGGUGUGACGCCUGCCCGGUGCCGGAAGGUUAAUUGAUGGGGUUAGCCGCAAGGCGAAGCUCUUGAUCGAAGCCCCGGUAAACGGCGGCCGUAACUAUAACGGUCCUAAGGUAGCGAAAUUCCUUGUCGGGUAAGUUCCGACCUGCACGAAUGGCGUAAUGAUGGCCAGGCUGUCUCCACCCGAGACUCAGUGAAAUUGAACUCGCUGUGAAGAUGCAGUGUACCCGCGGCAAGACGGAAAGACCCCGUGAACCUUUACUAUAGCUUGACACUGAACAUUGAGCCUUGAUGUGUAGGAUAGGUGGGAGGCUUAGAAGUGUGGACGCCAGUCUGCAUGGAGCCGACCUUGAAAUACCACCCUUUAAUGUUUGAUGUUCUAACGUUGACCCGUAAUCCGGGUUGCGGACAGUGUCUGGUGGGUAGUUUGACUGGGGCGGUCUCCUCCUAAAGAGUAACGGAGGAGCACGAAGGUUGGCUAAUCCUGGUCGGACAUCAGGAGGUUAGUGCAAUGGCAUAAGCCAGCUUGACUGCGAGCGUGACGGCGCGAGCAGGUGCGAAAGCAGGUCAUAGUGAUCCGGUGGUUCUGAAUGGAAGGGCCAUCGCUCAACGGAUAAAAGGUACUCCGGGGAUAACAGGCUGAUACCGCCCAAGAGUUCAUAUCGACGGCGGUGUUUGGCACCUCGAUGUCGGCUCAUCACAUCCUGGGGCUGAAGUAGGUCCCAAGGGUAUGGCUGUUCGCCAUUUAAAGUGGUACGCGAGCUGGGUUUAGAACGUCGUGAGACAGUUCGGUCCCUAUCUGCCGUGGGCGCUGGAGAACUGAGGGGGGCUGCUCCUAGUACGAGAGGACCGGAGUGGACGCAUCACUGGUGUUCGGGUUGUCAUGCCAAUGGCACUGCCCGGUAGCUAAAUGCGGAAGAGAUAAGUGCUGAAAGCAUCUAAGCACGAAACUUGCCCCGAGAUGAGUUCUCCCUGACUCCUUGAGAGUCCUGAAGGAACGUUGAAGACGACGACGUUGAUAGGCCGGGUGUGUAAGCGCAGCGAUGCGUUGAGCUAACCGGUACUAAUGAACCGUGAGGCUUAACCUU